GACGAACGCUGGCGGCGUGCUUAACACAUGCAAGUCGAACGGAAAGGCCCUGCUCUUGUUGGUUGCUCGAGUGGCGAACGGGUGAGUAACACGUGAGUAACCUGCCCUUGACUUUGUGAUAACUUCAGGAAACUGGGGCUAAUACCGGAUAUGAUCUCCUGCUGCAUGGUGUUGGUUGGAAAGUUUCGGCUGUUGGGGAUGGACUCGCGGCUUCUCAGCUUGUUUGUGGGGUAGUGGCUUACCAAGGCUUUGACGGGUAGCCUGCCUGAGAGGGUGAACGGCGACAUUGGGACUGAGAUACGGCCCAGACUCGUACGGGAGGCAGCAGGGGGGAAUAUUGCAGAAUGGGCGGGAGCCUGAGGCAGAAACGCCGCGUGCGGGAUGACGGGCUUCGGGUUGUAAACAGCUUUCGACUGUGACGAAGAGGGAGUGACGGUAAUGGGUAAAGAAGCAACGGCUAACUACGUG
rnacentral:rRNA from 1 species